CUGGCGGCGCGCCUAACACAUGCAAGUCGAACGAAGUUAAUUAUGAAUUCUUCGGAAGGAUUAAUGAAAACUUAGUGGCGGACGGGUGAGUAACACGUGAGCAAUCUGCCUUACAGAGGGGGAUAGCGAUUAGAAAUGGUCGAUAAUACCCCAUGAAGCACAUUUUUCGCAUGAGAUUUGUGUUAAAAGAAUUUCGCUGUAAGAUGAGCUCGCGCCUGACUAGACAGUUGGCGGGGUAACGGCCCACCAAAUCUACGAUCAGUAGCCGAACUGAGAGGUUGAUCGGCCACAUUGGGACUGAGACACGGCCCAGACUCCUACGGGAGGCAGCAGUGAGGGAUAUUGCACAAUGGGGGAAACCCUGAAUGCAGCGACGUCGCGUGAGGGAAGAAGGUUUUUGGAUUGUAAACCUCUGUUUUUGAAGAAGAUGAUGACGGUAUUCAAAGAGAAAGCUCCGGCUAACUACGUGCCAGCCGCGGC
rnacentral:rRNA from 1 species